UAGGGAAUCUUCCGCAAUGGGCGAAAGCCUGACGGAGCAACGCCGCGUGAGUGAUGAAGGUCUUCGGAUCGUAAAACUCUGUUAUUAGGGAAGAACAAAAGUGUAAGUAACUAUGCACGUCUUGACGGUACCUAAUCAGAAAGCCACGGCUAACUACGUGCCAGCAGCCGCGGUAAUACGUAGGUGGCAAGCGUUAUCCGGAAUUAUUGGGCGUAAAGCGCGCGUAGGCGGUUUUUUAAGUCUGAUGUGAAAGCCCACGGCUCAACCGUGGAGGGUCAUUGGAAACUGGAAAACUUGAGUGCAGAAGAGGAAAGUGGAAUUCCAUGUGUAGCGGUGAAAUGCGCAGAGAUAUGGAGGAACACCAGUGGCGAAGGCGACUUUCUGGUCUGUAACUGACGCUGAUGUGCGAAAGCGUGGGGAUCAAACAGG
rnacentral:rRNA from 1 species